UUAUAUUUUAAUAGUAAAAGAGAAAAGGAGAGAGGUUGAGCGAGCGAGAGAGAAGCUAGGUGUGAUGAUGACAGACUAGCUUUUCUGAGAGGAAAAGGAAAAGGGAAGGGAGAGAAAAAGGAGAGCCUCUGAGCUCAACGGAGGAUUGUGCCUGAGAAGAACCCACAGAGGCCUGGAAUAAAAGAAGAACAAGAAGAAGAAAGAAAUGAAAUGAAAAACAGAAAGAAAAAGGAGAAGAAACAUUUGAAAAAGGGUCAUCUUCCCAUCUGCCUCCCCU
rnacentral:lncRNA from 1 species